GAAAAAUUGUAUGUUGAUGGGUUUUUUGCUUUGUUUUCUUUUGUUAUUUUAAUACUUUGAGGAUGUUGCUGUACCAUCUUCUCACUUGCAGUUCCAGAUGAGAAAUGUGCUAGAAUCCUCACUUUGUUCCUCUGUACAAUAAGGUGUCUUUCUUCCUUUGGCUGCUUUAAGAGUUUCUCUUUUUUAUUUUUUAUUUAUUUAUUUAUUUUGAGACAUAGUCUCCCUCUCUCCCUCUGUUGCCCAGGCUUGAGUGCAGUGGUGUGAUCUUGGCUCACUGCAACCUCUGCCUCCCAGGCUCAAGCGAUUCUUGUGCCUCAGCCUCCCAAGUAGCUGGGAUUACGGGUGUGCGCCAUCAUGCCUGGCUAUUUUUUAAUUUGUAGUAGAGAUGGGGUUUUGCCAUGUUGGCCAGGCUGCUCUCAAGCUCCUGACCUCAAAUGAUCCGCUCACCUUGGCCUCCCAAAGUGCUGGAAUUACAGGCGUGAGCCACGGCGCCCGGCCCAAGAAUUUCUCUUUACCAUUGGUUUGAAGCAAUUUGAUUGUAAUAUGCCUUGGUUUUCUUCACCUGUUUAUUUUUUAUGUUUUAAAUUUUGGAGACAGGGUCUUGUUCUGUCACCUAGGCUGGUGCAAAGCUCACUGCAGCCUCGAACUCCCAGGCACAAGUGAUCUUCCUGCCUCAGUCUCCCAAGUAGCUAGGACUACAGGUGGACGCCACCAUGUCUGGCUAAUUUUUUUUAUUUUUUUGUAGAAAUGAGUUCUCGCUUUGUUGCCCAGGCUAAUCUUGAAUUCCUGGCCUCAAGUGAUCCUUCCACCUCAGCCUCCCGAACUGCUGGGAUUACAGGCAUGAGCCACCAUGCCCAGCCUUCUUCACAUUUCUUGUACUUGGGGGUUAAUUGAGUGUUUUGAAUUUAUAGUGUGAGUUUAUAUUUUUCAUCAGCUUUGAAAAAAUUGAGGGUAUUAUUUCUUCAAUUAUUUUUUCUGCUCUCUCCUCCUUUGGAGACUUCAAUUACACAUAUAGUAGACCACAUGAAAUUGUUCCACAGUUCACUGAAUCUCUGUUAAUCGUUUUUUUAUUCUAUUUUUUCUUCUGUGUUUCAUUUUGGAUAGUUGCUGUUGCCAUGUCUUCAAGUUCACUAAACUUUUCUUCUGCAGCAUAAAUCCUGUCCCAACUACUUUUCAUCUCAGACAUGGUAGUUUUCAUCUCUUAAUUCAUGUGUGUGUGUGUGUGUGUGUGUGUAAUAUCUACCAUAUAUCUACUUAACAUGUUUAAUCUUUAUCUUCUGGUACACACGAAAUACAAUUAUAAUUACUAUAUUUAUGUCCUUGGCUAGCAACUACAUCAUCUGUGUUAUUUUGGGGCCAGUUUCUAUUGAUUAAUUUUUUUCUCAUCAUGGGUCAUAGUUUUCUGCUGUUUUGCACGCCUGGUAAUUCUGAGAUACCAGCAUUAUCAAUUUUACAUUUUUAAGUGUUGGACACUUUUGUAUUCCUACUUCUAUUCAUAUUCUUGAGUUUUAUCCUGAAGUUCAGUUAAGGUACUUGGGUCCAGUUUGCUUCUUUCAGAUUUUACUUUCAAGUUUUGACAGGAGGGCCCAGAAUAGCAUUUAGUCUAGGGUUAACUUUUUCCCCAUUACUGAGGUAGAAUCUGUGACCACUGAACUGUGAACCCUUCCCUGCUCAGGCUGAUUUCCAGCGUUGCUCCCUGUAAUCCUUUCAGGGGCUUCUUUCUUCAGCCGUGGGUAGUUUUCUCUUAUGCAUGUGCUGAUCCGUCCAUAGCUGAAGACUUACAGGGACUUCCUUGAAGAUCUCCAGAACUCUUUCUCUUUGCAGCUCUUUCUUCUUUGAUACUAUGUCUUGCAAACUCUAGCCACCUCUGUCUCUCAGACUUCCAACUGAAGUCUUCUUAACCAGGGGAGACUAGCAGGCUCCAGCUGGGUUCCCCUGCCUGCACUCAUGCCUGGAAACUGUCUUCUGGCUGUACACUUUGGCAAUGGUAGGCUUCCCUUUAUUCAUUUCCCAGCUCUCAUGGAUCACUACACUUUGUUAGCUGAUUUCCAAUGUUUUGAAAAUAGUUGUUUUGUAUAUUUGGUGCAGAUUUUAAGUUAUAUUGAUGGAGAGUCUCUGACCCAUUAUCCCAUCUCGCCUGGCAGCCGAAGUCUUCAGAGAUCCUCUGGCCAUCUUGUGAAACCUAUGGAUUACUUUUGAGAAUGUUUGGAAAUGCACAAGACCCCUGAGAAGUCCGUGGGUCCAGGAUAAGAACCCCUAUUAAUGAAUGGAAACUGGAGUGCCUGGGAGUUGUGAGUCUUACACAAUUGGCUAAGCUUGUGAACUGACAAUGAUUUUGUCUGAAUCUACCUUGGGAAUGUGAGAUGCCAUGAGGAUAAUUUUGGCGUGGGUUGGGGGGAUAGCAUUUACAAGACAACUGGGAGUGUCCUUCAUGCCAAGAUGGGUCUCCCUACUGUGGUUCCCCACCAAGCAAGUUUGCCCCCACUGCUGAGGAGUCCACCUGUCAAAUGGCUUCUUGCCCAACUCCCAGCCUGAAGCUCAAGAUUCAUCACUCAAAACUGACAAAUUGGGCAGGUCUGAUGUUUAUUUUUGCCUCUGGUCCUUUGGCCAGGCCACACACUCUUGGAUUUCUGAAUAUGCAGUUCUGUUCCUAACCAGUGUGUCCCAACCAGAAAGUCACUGUAAUUUUUGGUUUUGUUCCCAAUCUCCCUCCAAAUGUCAUUAGUCAUAUCCUCCUUCCCAUUUCUGCCUUGAAUAGGCAGUCAUUAUGAUGAAGCCAGGCUUGUUUCAGAAUUCCAUGAGAACCACAGUGUCAGGCUGUGACAACUCUGGGGCUGGAAAUGGAAAAGGCUGUGAUCUGGGGUUGGCUGGCACCGUCCCCGUGAGUCAUUAUGGAAACACUGUCCCCGGAUUCUGCUGAGAGGACUGGGUUGCUGGUGAGUCCAUCUGUCAGAUGAGAUCCUGACCCCCUGACACCUUAAAACGUUCCAUAAUAUGUGGGAUGUUGGGCCUUCUGUCUGGUAUCCUGGCUACAUUAAAAUUUGGGUUGUUUUAUUCUAUUUUUGGUUCCCUUGCAGUUUCCAAUGUGUUAAAAAACAAAAUACAAUUUUUUUCAGAUUACAAAAAUAAUACAUAUUCAUUGUACAGAAAUUGAAAAAGGCAGAAAAACAUACAGAAGGAAAUUCUACCACCCAGAGAUAAGGAUUUUUUAAAAUGUUGCAUUUGCUUUCAGAUGCUAUUUAGAUUAUAGUUUAUAAAAUACUUUUGUAAGCUGUGUGCUUUUUAAAACUCUAACAGUAUAGCUCACACAGUCUGCCUUAUAAAAAGCACAAAUUCUAUCAUUUUUUUCUCUGGAGGAGGCCUUAUAUAAGACCAUCUAGUCUAACACACUCUUUGUAAAAAUGAGGCAACUGUGAUCCCAAGAGGGUAAGUAACUUGCUCAGGGCUCCCCAGCGUAUGAGCCACAGAGUCAGGAAUGGGAGUAUGGAUCUUGUCUCAGCAUCCUGCUGCCUCGUGACCUGCCCAUGUGCUGUCAGUGUACAUCUUCAGACAAGAGCUGAAAGCACUCCGGCCUCUCUGCCUCUUGACCCGGAGGAAAUGUAGAUGAGUUCCCAGGCUUACUGAAUAGGACAUUUGCCCCUGCUUUAGACCUUGAGUUAGGGAACUAUUUAACAUCUUUGAAAUUUUCAUUCCCUAGGGGAAAGCUUAAAAUUUGAGGAAAAACAAAAGGCUCUUUCCCAUGCAAAAAUUAUUUUUGGUUAUCAUUUGGAAAAGAAAAAUAGGCAUUACUAACAACUUAAUGACUUCACUAAUAUACCUGCCUUUAAACUUAAGAAUAGUUAUUUAAUAAAGUUUAUAAACUCUACUAAAGUACGUACACAAUAGUAUGUAUAUUUUAUAAUAUGUGUAUUUCCAGGAAAUGUGAAUUCACCCCAGAAAGUAAGGAGGCUGCCUGUAUGGUAUGGGAUGGGAUGGGAUGGGAUGGGAUGGGAUGGGAUGGUAUUAGUAUGGGAUGGUAUGGUAUGGGAUGGGAUGGGAUGGGAUAGUAUUAGUAUGGGAUGGGAUGGUAUGGUAUGGGAUGGGAUGGCAUUAGUAUGGGAUGGUAUGGUAUGGUAUGGGAUGGCCUAGUAACCGUAUGGUAUGGCCUGGCAUAGUAUGGCAUGGCAUGUUAAGGUAAUGGCAUGCUAUGGUAUGAUAAUGGUAUGGUGUGGUGUGGUAUGGCAUGGGAUGGUAUGGGAUGGUAAUGGUAUGGUAUGGUAUAGUGUAUAGUAUAGUCUGGUGUAUAGUGUAGUGUUGUUAUAUUGAUAGUAUAGCAUAGUAUAAUAUAGUAAAAUGACUGUAAUUCAGAUUUAGGUGGUCUUGGAUUUAAAUCCUAUCUCAGCACCUACCUGGUUGUGUAAUCUUGGAAACUGAGCCUCUUUGAGCUUUAUUUCAUUAUCUGUAAAAUGAAAAUAGUAAUAGCAGUUAUCCCAAGAUAUAGAUACAAUAAAUAAAACAAUGCAUUCCCAUUUCCUUUUUAGAAGAAAGUAAAGAAAAGCUGUGAUGAGAGGAGCAGGGAUAAGGCCUCCCCCUAAGUAUGGGUGCCAAUUCCAAAAGAAGGAACUGCUGAGAGCCACACUGCCACCCCAACUGAAUACACAAGGACAUGAACAACAGGAUGUGUUAACUUCAAGGACAAAUAAUAGGGUCAGACUUCAAGUAGAACAUGGUUGAGUAAAUCAACAUCUUUCACCUUGUCCUCCAGAGAAUCCUACAAAAGCAGCAAGGAGAAUGAAAAACACCCUACAUACUCCACUUUCAGUGAAAUCAAGAUAGCUAGAUAUUAUAUGCAGACUCUAAAAUUUGUGCAAGGAAUGUCAAGGCGGCUGAUAUUAAGCAAAAGCUAUAAGAAGAAUAUAAAGAAAAAGGUUCAGAGAGCAGCUAGAUGGCCCAGGGUGGGGGUGGGGGUAGCAGAGUUGAAAGUGCCAAUAAAAAUAGGUAAGAGGCUCUACUCGACGUGUACAUAUGUGUCUCCUGUUUUCAGUUAAAAAAAAGCAAGAAGUAUAGUAAGCAAAGCUGGGCAGCAGAAACACUCUUGGAUGGGUCAUAUGAUACAAAAAAGCAAAAAAGGUGGAGCUGCUCAAAGAAUCACAAAGAUGCGCCUUAUCUGCAAGAAACAGUCUGUCUCUGUGGCAGAGCAGAGAAGAAGAAAUUCUGUGAGUUGUAAAAUUUAGAAGGUUAUAUUGUCUCCAGUCCACCUCUCCAUACCACUCCCCUGCCGGAAACCUUUUGAUCCGGGGAAACCCAAGUCAUUCAAGAUGAAUAAUUUUUAAAAUGAACUACCCAAACACAAAUUUAAAGAUACCUGCUUUUAUAUCUUGCUGAAAAAAUCAGCAAGAUUUGCCAAGAAAUAAAGAA
rnacentral:lncRNA from 10 species